rnacentral:rRNA from 1 species
UGGGGAAUCUUGGACAAUGGGCGAAAGCCUGAUGCAGCAACGCCGCGUGCGGGAAGACAGCCCUAGGGUUGUAAACCGCUUUCAGCAGGGAAGAAACUGACGGUACCUGCAGAAGAAGAUGCGGCCAACUACGUGCCAGCAGCCGCGGUGACACGUAGGCAUCAAGCGUUAUCCGGAUUUAUUGGGCGUAAAGAGCUCGUAGGCGGUCCGUUGCGUCUGCCGUGAAAACCCGGAGCUCAACUCCGGGCCUGCGGUGGAUACGGGCGGACUAGAGUCCGGUAGGGGGAGACUGGAAUUCCUGGUGUAGCGGUGGAAUGCGCAGAUAUCAGGAGGAACACCGGUGGCGAAGGCGGGUCUCUGGGCCGGAACUGACGCUGAGGAGCGAAAAGCGUGGGGAGCGAACAGGAUUAGAUACCCUGGUAGUCCACGCUGUAAACGAUGGUCACUCGGUGCUGCGGGUAUCGACCCCUGCAGUGCCUUAGCUAACGCGUUAAGUGACCCGCCUGGGAGUACGGUCGCAAGGCUGAAACUCAAAUGAAUUGA